GUCUUUUUGAGUUAUUUUUAAAGUCUGACCUGCCCACUGAAUUUUAAAUGGCCGCAGUAUUCUAACUGUGCAAAGGUAGCAUAAUCAUUAGUCUUUUAAUUGAAGGCUGGUAUGAACGGUUGGACGAAGUAUAAGCUGUUUCAUGUAAAUUUACAAUAGAAUUUUAUAUUUUAGUUAAAAAGCUAAAAUGAGGUUAAAAGACGAGAAGACCCUAUAAAUCUUUAUAUUUUAUAUGGUUUAAAUUUUUUUGAUUUCUUUUAUUUUUAUUAUAUAAGGUAUUUUGUUGGGGUGAUGUUAAAAUUUGAUGAACUUUUAAUUUGUUUUAAAUCAUUAAUUUAUGAGUUAUUGAUCCGUUAAUAGCGAUUAUAAGAUUAAGUUACUUUAGGGAUAACAGCGUAAUUUUUUUGGAGAGUUCAUAUCGAUAAAAAAGUUUGCGACCUCGAUGUUGGAUUAAGAUAUAGUUUUAGGUGUAGCCGCUUAAAGGUUAAGUCUGUUCGACUUUUAAAUUCUU
rnacentral:rRNA from 1 species